rnacentral:rRNA from 1 species
GAUGAACGCUGGCGGCGUGCCUAAUACAUGCAAGUCGAGCGAACGGACGAGAAGCUUGCUUUUCUGAUGUUAGCGGCGGACGGGUGAGUAACACGUGGAUAACCUACCUAUAAGACUGGGAUAACUUCGGGAAACCGGAUCUAAUACCGGAUAAUAUUUUGAACCGCAUGGUUCAAAAGUGAAAGACGGUCUUGCUGUCACUUAUAGAUGGAUCCGCGCUGCAUUAGCUAGUUGGUAAGGUAACGGCUUACCAAGGCAACGAUGCAUAGCCGACCUGAGAGGAUGAUCAGCCACACUGGCACUGAGACACGGUCCAGACUCCUACGGGAGGCAGCAGUAGGGAAUCUUCCACAAUGGGCGAAAGCCUGACGGAGCAACGCCGCGUGAGUGAUGAAGGUCUUCGGAUCGUAAAACGCUUUUAUUAGGGAAGAACAUAUGUGUAAGAAGCUGUGCUCAUCUUGACGGUACCUAAUCAGAAAGCCCCGGCUAACUUCGUG